CGGCACCCGGACACCCCGGCCUCACGCCCGCCGCGGCGCUGCGGACCCGGCCCCGCCUGAGCCCUCGCUGGCAGCGGCGAUCGCGAUCGGAGCGCCCACCCGAGCCUUCCCCCCACGGGCAAGGAAAGUGAAGUGGAAACAAUGUGAAAUUCACCAGCUCUGAAAUCAACAAGCUGCCGGCUCGGGAGCUACGGAGCCAACAGCGGCGUCCCCAUUUAAAGGGACAGCGCACCCGGUGGAGAGAAGAAAUAAAUACUCGAAGAGGUCUGCGCGCCCGGAUCGCUCGCCAGCGUGUGUUCCGCAGACGCGCGAGGUGCGGACGUGUUCUCUCCACACCUCCGCCGCCCCCACUGGGCUCGCCAAGCGCAUUCAAGGAUAAAAGAGUCUUCUCGGCGGCUUCUAAGGGCGUGUCCCCGCGAGGACGUCUGUCUGCGGGCGCGUUUGCAUCUCUACCCCGGGAACCCCGACACCUUUAGAUGGCGAAAGGAACCUACCUGCUUUAAGGAAUAUGAAACCGAUCUUCUCUUUUGAAGGAAAGAGAUGAAAGGAAGAAUGAAGAGAAAGACAAUUACUGAAAGAUGUUCAAGAAUGUCUGAACUUUGUUUAAAAAAUAAUGCAUACAUCCAGAGUUUUGAAGAAUGCCUGAACAGUCCACCGUCUACGGAAGUACUAAGCUCUGAGAAGCUCCAGCCCUAUGAUCCAUAUUCAAACAAUAGGAUGACUGAGAAGUGGCUUUCUACAAGGACACACCCUGCAACAGAGCUAUGUUCUGCACAAAACAAAGAGUUUUAUACCCAUUUUCACCUGAGGCCCAAGAUCAAGGACUGUGUUCUUGUUCCUUUUUUUUUUCCUUCUAGGUGUAAAACAUAUAUUUCCUCCUUCCUGGCUUUCUUAAUGUCUGAUUGUAGCAAGUUCUUUCAUUCCACCUUAUAUGAAGAAGUUCUGUGGUACGGAAACCUGCCAUGGGCCAUAGGUCUUAUUCCCCAAAUUUGCAUUCCAAGGAGAUCUCAGGAAAGAGCAAAGAACGGAUCUUCCUGUACCACAUUGAUUUACAUACUCAUGAAGGAAGCCGGUUCUCACAGCGAUACCUGUUUUGCUUUCCACGCCUCAUCAGAAAAGGAUCAUCUGACCCUGCACUGUAACAAGUUUAUUGGAAAACUUGGCUACUCCUCUCCCCAACCCUGCCCAGUGCAGUAUAUGAAUAGAAGGAGUUGUUUCUCCCGAUCUGAGACCUGAUAUGUUGAGUUGUGGUCCAAAUCUCAUUUUAAAUUCCAAGUCGCAAAACCUGGAGAGAGGGUGUUUGAGGAACAUGCUGAUUUUCCUUCAGCUCCAACAACUUUAUCACACUCAGCCAUAAAUAUACUUGGUGGAACAUGCCUUCUUAUUCUGCUUUCUCUAUUAGUACUUUCUAAGCAGAAACAAAACAGAACAAGGCUCACUCUCAAAUCACAAACCCUUUACAUUCCCCAGGGCUGCUUCUGUAAUCUAGUGGGGGGAAAGCAGAAGAAUUUUAAGAGGAAAGAAAAAAAAAAGAAAGGAGGAAAGAUAAAAAGAAAAUACUUUUCCCUCACUCUUCUUGCCUUCUGAUCAUUCUGUAACUGUGUGUAUUUUACCAGAAUUAACCCUAAAUAUUUGGGGGGUGGGGCAGGUAGGAGUAUAGAGGGUAUAUAAAUAUUAUGAAUGAGAAAAUUCAAACAAAACCACUGGUCUGGAAGUCUGGAGACUUCCACUCUAGUCCAGUUUUGGCUGUUAGUGAGUUGUGAUCACAGGAAAAAUUUCUCCUCAGAAUUUCCUUUUCCUCGUGUGUAAACAAACAGAAUUAGGUGUCAUCUGGGCUUGACAUUCUGAGAUUAUAGCUCUGACUUGAAAGGACAAAUAAAGCCACUUCGUGCCCCCACAC
rnacentral:lncRNA from 1 species